UACGGAGGGUGCAAGCGUUAUCCGGAUUCACUGGGUUUAAAGGGUGCGUAGGAGGGCAGGUAAGUCAGUGGUGAAAUCUCCAAGCUUAACUUGGAAACUGCCGUUGAUACUAUCUGUCUUGAAUACCGUGGAGAUGAGCGGAAUAUGUCAUGUAGCGGUGAAAUGCUUAGAUAUGACAUAGAACACCAAUUGCGAAGGCAGCUCGUCACACGAAUAUUGACUCUGAGGCACGAAAGCGUGGGGAUCAAACAGG
rnacentral:rRNA from 1 species